CCUACGGGUGGCUGCAGUGGGGAAUAUUGGACAAUGGGGGGAACCCCGAUCCAGCCAUGCCGCGUGUGUGAAGAAGGCCCUCGGGUUGUAAAGCACUUUCAGUGAGGAAGAACGCCUGGUGGUUAAUACCCAUCAGGAAAGACAUCACUCACAGAAGAAGCACCGGCUAACUCCGUGCCAGCAGCCGCGGUAAUACGGAGGGUGCGAGCGUUAAUCGGAAUUACUGGGCGUAAAGCGCGCGUAGGUGGCUUGAUAAGCCGGUUGUGAAAGCCCCGGGCUCAACCUGGGAACGGCAUCCGGAACUGUCAAGCUAGAGUGCAGGAGAGGAAGGUAGAAUUCCCGGUGUAGCGGUGAAAUGCGUAGAGAUCGGGAGGAAUACCAGUGGCGAAGGCGGCCUUCUGGACUGACACUGACACUGAGGUGCGAAAGCGUGGGUAGCAAACAGGAUUAGAUACCCGAGUAGUC
rnacentral:rRNA from 1 species